rnacentral:rRNA from 1 species
UAAAAUGAGAGUUUGAUCCUGGCUCAGGACGAACGCUGGCGGCGUGCCUAAUACAUGCAAGUCGAACGCUUUGCUUAUCACCGUAGCUUGCUACACCGAUAAGCAUUGAGUGGCGAACGGGUGAGUAACACGUGGGUAACCUGCCCAAAAGAGGGGGAUAACACUUGGAAACAGGUGCUA